UACAGAGGGUGCAAGCGUUGUUCGGAAUUACUGGGCGUAAAGCGCGUGUAGGUGGCGACGUAAGUCGGGUGUGAAAUCCCUUGGCUCAACCAAGGAAGUGCAUUCGAUACUGUGUUGCUUGAGUACCGGAGGGGAUGGCGGAAUUCCCGGUGUAGAGGUGAAAUUCGUAGAUAUCGGGAGGAACACCUGUGGCGAAGGCGGCCAUCUGGACGGUCACUGACACUGAGACGCGAAAGCGUGGGUAGCAAACAGG
rnacentral:rRNA from 1 species